GCCUGGGUGGCUCAGUCGGUUGAGCCUCUGACUUUGGCUCAGGUCAUGAUCUGUGGUCCAUGGGUUCGAUCCCCGUGUCGGGCU
rnacentral:tRNA from 1 species